rnacentral:lncRNA from 1 species
CUCCAAAACACUCUCAAAUCCUUUCAAUCUCCUAAGAAUUCAAGUGUUGUUGGCAAAUUAUUCUUAAGUUCAAAACACUAAGUUUUGAACUCAUUUUUUCUCGUUUUCUUCUUAUUUCUUGUCUUCCUCCUACUUGAACAACCUCUAGGAGUGUUAUCAUGAAUUUACUAAGGUAAACCAAGUUGGUACAUCACUAUUUUGAGGUCCUAGCUGAGGAUUUUUUGAUGAAUUUUGUUAAAACUAUCAUACUUGUUCAUCUUGUUCUUUGUUUCUUGGAUUUCUUUGCACCAAACCAAGUUACCAAUAAGUUCUAUUGUUGAAAGACUUGUGUUGAGAUAUGAAUUCAGAAACUUUGGGGUCAUAUACCUCCAUUUUUAUACAAUCUAAGUCACCAAGUAACUUUCAAGUAAGCAAAGUAAACAAACUACACCAAGUCUCCAAUCCUAACCAUGUUUGGAAGCACUUGUCUAGUUGAACUCAAUUGGCUACACGGUGAAUUUAAAGAGUUAGUUUAUGUUCUUCAUAUUAUUCAUGGUUAUCUGAAUCAUCCUUGUGGUGAUUUUGUGCAAUGGUGAACAUCAUGAGGUUCGUGAUUUGGACCGAAACCCGUGAUUAGUGUGUGAUUAUGUUCAAGACGGGAAAGAUUAGAGACGGAUAAACAAAACUUCCUUGUAUUAAUUCGGUAGAAUAACAUUACAAAGUGGCCCGAUUACAAGCUAACCGAACCAUACCAAAGGAGCAUAUAUCCGGGGAGAGACCAAGUGGUGAUCUCUCCCCCAAGGUCUAAAACCUUCCUCACAUUCUCUGCUAUCUCUCUCUAGUGCAAAUGAACCAAAGGGGUGGUAUUUAUAGCCACACCCACUUCACUUGCACAUACACACGGUCAAACAAAUAACCCUCUCGUUUGACCACUUCAAACGAGCGGGUCAAUACACGUUCGUUUGACCGUUUCACUAACUAUUACAUAAUCAGCAUAAAAUAAAACUAAUCUAUUCGAACAGCAUCGGACACAAAAACUGAACCAAUAAAUUCCCCCUUGUUCGUUGUUGUCGAAUGCUGAAAAUGCAACUGCAAUCGAUAUUCAGUCAAGUAUUUGUUGAUGUCAUCUUCUGUGUGUUAACAAAUUCCCCCUUGACCGAUGAUCCAGAUAAGUAGUAUCCUGACUUGAGUCUUCAUAGCAAUACCAAACCCUUGAAGCUUCUCGUAUAGAAUUUCCCCCUCAAAGUACGCGUAUCGGUGUUGGGUGUUGUGCAAUGUCCUCAUAAGGCUAAAUUGACCGAUCUUCCAUUGAUCUUCCAAUACUCCAACCGGAAUUUAAUAAGGGUUCCAUUCUUUAAAAGCUGCAUCAAGUCUUGAUCUUGUCAUAAGAACUCCAUUUCAUUCAAGCAUACUACAUUGGUAGAGUUUUCUGGUGAACUGUCUUAUGUAAACCAUCUUUGUGGAAUCGACCAUGUAAUACACUUUGAUCAUCAGCAUCAACACUCAGGAUGUCAGCUAGACCGAGUAUAUCACUUGCAAGCUCAACCAGCAUGCUUAAUUGAACUACAUCCAGAUCUCAUUGUCUCGCCUUUGUGAAGUUGACCACGUAAUGCACUACGGAUCUUCAGCAUAAGUACUCAGGAUGUCAGCUUGACCAAGUACUUCGUUUGCGAACUCAACGAAUUGAAUUACACCUAGAUCCCUAUAAAAUCUCAUAAAGAUUCCCCAGGUUUUCAGUGAACAACGUUUUGAAACUACUGUAGACUUUAGAUACCUGUAUGUUUCCGUACAAAACCCUUCACGCUGGCUGGAGAAUUAAUGAAAAUCCUCAAAUAUGUGUCUGUGCAAAACAUUCC